rnacentral:rRNA from 1 species
UUGUCUCAAAGAUUAAGCCAUGCAUGUCUCAGUACAAGCCAAAUUAAGGUGAAACCGCGAAAGGCUCAUUAAAUCAGUUAUGGUUCCUUAGAUCGUACCCCACAUUUACUUGGAUAACUGUGGUAAUUCUAGAGCUAAUACAUGCAAACAGAGUUCCGACCGGAGACGGAAGGAACGGUUUUAUUAGAUCAAAACCAAUCGGCAUUGAACACUACUACUUAUUGUAGUUAGUUGCCUUUGUCGUACAUGUUGGUGAAUCUGAAUAACUUUUUCCUGAUCGCACGGUCUCGCACCGGCGACGCAUCUUUCAAAUGUCUGCCUUAUCAACUGUCGAUGGUAGGUUCUGUGCCUACCAUGGUUGUAACGGGUAACGGGGAAUCAGGGUUCGAUUCCGGAGAGGGAGCCUGAGAAACGGCUACCACAUCCAAGGAAGGCAGCAGGCGCGCAAAUUACCCACUCCCGGCACGGGGAGGUAGUGACGAAAAAUAACGAUACGGGACUCAUCCGAGGCCCCGUAAUCGGAAUGAGUACACUCUAAAUCCUUUAACGAGUAUCAAUUGGAGGGCAAGUCUGGUGCCAGCAGCUGCGGUAAUUCCAGCUCCAAUAGCGUAUAUUAAAGUUGUUGCGGUUAAAAAGCUCGUAGUCGAAUCUGUGUCCCGUGCCGCCGGUUCAUCGUUCGCGGUGUUAACUGGCGUGUUCGCGGGACGUCCUGCCGGUGGGCUUAGUCGAAACGGGCAAUAUGUAUGUUGGUCAGUUACGUUAAUCCGUUCUGUCCUCGUAUGUAUUCUCGCUAGGCGGCCCAACUUGAAAUCCCGCCGCGGUGCUCUUUACUGAGUGUCGAGGCGGGCCGGCACGUUUACUUUGAACAAAUUAGAGUGCUUAAAGCAGGCUAAAUUUUGCCUGAAUACUGUGUGCAUGGAAUAAUGGAAUAGGACCUCGGUUCUAUUUUGUUGGUUUUCGGAACCCCGAGGUAAUGAUUAAUAGGAACGGAUGGGGGCAUUCGUAUUGCGACGUUAGAGGUGAAAUUCUUGGAUCGUCGCAAGACGGACAGAAGCGAAAGCAUUUGCCAAAAACGCUUUCUAACCAUAAACGAUGCCAGCUAGCGAUCCGCCGACGUUCCUCCGAUGACACGGCGGGCAGCUUCCGGGAAACCAAAGCUUUUGGGUUCCGGGGGAAGUAUGGUUGCAAAGCUGAAACUUAAAGGAAUUGACGGAAGGGCACCACCAGGAGUGGAGCCUGCGGCUUAAUUUGACUCAACACGGGAAACCUCACCAGGCCCGGACACCGGAAGGAUUGACAGAUUGACAGCUCUUUCUUGAUUCGGUGGGUGGUGGUGCAUGGUCGUUCUUAGUUGGUGGAGCGAUUUGUCUGGUUAAUUCCGAUAACGAACGAGACUCUACCCUGCUAAAUAGGCGUAUUUCCGACAUCUCGAAGGCUCGCCGGGCCGACUUUUCUUCACUUCCCUUUCCAAGGGUUGGGUUGAGGUUGUGUUCGUGCGCGGUUUUUACUGUCGGCGUAUAAACAAAUCUUCUUAGAGGGACAGGCGGCUUCUAGCCGCACGAGAUUGAGCAAUAACAGGUCUGUGAUGCCCUUAGAUGUUCUGGGCCGCACGCGCGCUACACUGAAGGAAUCAGCGUGUCCUCCCUGACCGAGAGGUCCGGGAAACCCGCUGAACCUCCUUCGUGCUAGGGAUUGGGGCUUGCAAUUGUUCCCCAUGAACGAGGAAUUCCCAGUAAACGCGAGUCAUAAGCUCGCGUUGAUUACGUCCCUGCCCUUUGUACACACCGCCCGUCGCUACUACCGAUUGAAUGAUUUAGUGAGGUCUUCGGACCGGUACGCGGUGGCGUUUCGACGUUACCGAUGCUGCUGGGAAGAUGACCAAACUUGAUCAUUU